rnacentral:rRNA from 1 species
UUACGGGAGGCAGCAGUGGGGAAUAUUGCACAAUGGGGGAAACCCUGAUGCAGCGACGCCGCGUGAGUGAAGAAGUAUUUCGGUAUGUAAAGCUCUAUCAGCAGGGAAGAAAAUGACGGUACC